rnacentral:rRNA from 1 species
UUGAAUGGCCGCGGUAUUUUGACCGUGCUAAGGUAGCAUAAUCAUUAGUUUUUUAAUUGAAAGCUGGAAUGAAGGGCUGAAUGAAAAAAAAACUGUCUCUAAUUAAUUAUUUUAGAAUUUUAUUUUUAAGUAAAAAAGCUUAAAUUUUAUUAAAAGACGAGAAGACCCUAUAGAGUUUAAUAAUUUUAUAAUAUAAAAAAUUUGGAAUUAAUUUUUUUAUUUUUAUAUGAUUAUUUGAUUGGGGUGAUUAAAAAAUUUAAUAAACUUUUUUUAUUUAUUUAUAUUAAUUAAUAAAUAGUUGAUCCAAAAAUUUUGAUUAUAAGAUAAAAUUACCUUAGGGAUAACAGCGUAAUUUUAUUUGAGAGUU